rnacentral:tRNA from 1 species
GGGCCGCUAGCUCAACUGGUAGAGCAGGACACUCUUAAUGUCAAGGUUCUGGGUUCGAGACCCAGGCGGCCCA